GGACAGAUGUACCACUGCACCAGCUGCAGUGCAUCUGCUUUGCAUGCAGAAGGGCGCGGGUUCAAUCCCUGCCAUCUCCA